CCCAGCUCUAGGCAGCUGCCUAGUUUGCAUUGUACCUAGGUAAGUGUUACACAGGUGGGAGAAAAUCAGCUAAGAGCUGGUAGCAUCCUGGGCCUGGUUAAUGCCAAAUAUGUGUUAACAAU
ensembl:snoRNA SNORA74 Small nucleolar RNA SNORA74